rnacentral:rRNA from 1 species
GAUGAACGCUGGCGGCGUGCUUAACACAUGCAAGUCGAACGGAAAGGCCCAAGCUUGCUUGGGUACUCGAGUGGCGAACGGGUGAGUAACACGUGGGUGAUCUGCCCUGCACUUCGGGAUAAGCCUGGGAAACUGGGUCUAAUACCGGAUAGGACGAUGGUUUGGAUGCCAUUGUGGAAAGUUUUUUCGGUGUGGGAUGAGCUCGCGGCCUAUCAGCUUGUUGGUGGGGUAAUGGCCUACCAAGGCGUCGACGGGUAGCCGGCCUGAGAGGGUGUACGGCCACAUUGGGACUGAGAUACGGCCCAGACUCCUACGGGAGGCAGCAGUGGGGAAUAUUGCACAAUGGGCGCAGGCCUGAUGCAGCGACGCCGCGUGGGGGAUGACGGCCUUCGGGUUGUAAACUCCUUUCGCUAGGGACGAAGCGUUUUUGUGACGGUACCUGGAGAAGAAGCACCGGCUAACUACGU